rnacentral:rRNA from 1 species
CCUACGGGAGGCAGCAGUGAGGAAUAUUGGUCAAUGGCCGGAAGGCUGAACCAGCCAUGCCGCGUGAAGGUCAGUGCCCUAUGGGCGUUAAACUUCUUUUGUGCGGGAGCAAUAAUGGUCACGUGUGGCCAGACGAGAGUACCGUACGAAUAAGCAUCGGCUAACUCCGUGCCAGCAGCCGCGGUAAUACGGGGGAUGCAAGCGUUAUCCGGAUUUAUUGGGUUUAAAGGGUGCGGAGGCUGUGAGGUAAGUCAGCGGUGAAAUGCCGACGCUCAACGGGGUGAAGUGCCAUUGAUACUGCCUGGCUGGAGUGCGGUUGCGGUGGGAGGAAUGUGGGGUGUAGGGGUGAAAUGCAUAGAUAUCACAAAGAACACCGAUUGCGAAGGCAUCUCACGAAGCGGCGAUUGACACUGAGGCACGAAAGCGUGGGUAGCAAACGGGAUGAGAUACCCGUGUAGUC